GACUGGCGAGUGCCGGAGCAGCGCUCGGUGCUGUCCUGACCGUGACCGGCCCCCGCCGGUUGACGAUGGUUGCUACCUUCGCCGGUCA
rnacentral:tRNA from 1 species